rnacentral:rRNA from 1 species
GACGAACCGUGCGAACGUUGUUCGGAUUCACUGGGCUUAAAGGGCGCGUAGGCGGGUCCGCAAGUCCGGGGUGAAAGCCCCCAGCUCAACUGGGGAAGUGCCUCGGAUACUGCGGACCUCGAGGGGGGUAGGGGCGGGCGGAACUUCCGGUGGAGCGGUGAAAUGCGUAGAUAUCGGAAGGAACGCCGGUGGCGAAGGCGGCUUGCUGGGCCAGUUCUGACGCUGAGGAGCGAAAGCGUGGGGAGCGAACAGG